CUUCGGAGCAUUUUACGAGGUGCUGCAUGGUUGUCGUCAGCUCGUGCCGUGAGGUGUCGGGUUAAGUCCCAUAACGAGCGCAACCCUACCUUUAGUUGCCAUCAGGUAAUGCUGGGGACUCUAAAGGAACUGCCUACGCAAGUAGUGAGGAAGCGGGGAUGACGUCAAAUCAGCACGGCCCUUACGUCCAGGGCUACACACGUGCUACAAUGGCCGAUACAGAGGGCAGCUACCUGGUGACAGGAUGCAAAUCUCCAAAAGUCGGUCUCAGUUCGGAUCGGAGUCUGCAACCCGACUCCGUGAAGUUGGAUUCGCUAGUAAUCGCAGAUCAGCCAAGCUGCGGUGAAUACGUUCCCGGGCCUU
rnacentral:rRNA from 1 species